rnacentral:tRNA from 1 species
GGGAGAGUAGCCAAGUGGUUACGGCGCCCGCUUCAGGCGCUGGUCUUCACAGGCGCGGGUUCGAAUCCCGUCUCUCUCA